AGGCAGAGGCAGAUGACUCUUUGCAAAUUUGAGGCCAACCUGUCUACAUAGUGAGAUCCUGUCUCACUAAAAGAAAAAAAAGAAAAAAAGAAAAAAAAAAGGAUUUUCAUGGGAACACACAUCUAUAAUUCCAGCACUUGUUUGGAUGGCAGAAGGAUCACUAACUUGAGGCCAGCCUGGGCUGUGUACAGUUUGUAGCCUUAAAAAGAGGAGAGAGGAGGAAGAGUAGGCACAGGGAGAGAAAAGAAACACUGAUUUAUGUAUGUAUGUAUGUAUGUAUGUAUGUAUGUAUGUAUUUAUUUUUACUGGGAUUGAGUUGAAUCUGUAGGUAGUUUGGGUAUAUUGAUUUUGUUUUGUUUUUGAGACAAGGUCGCCAUGUAGCCCUAGCUCUCCUGGAACUUAAAGAGAUAGCUAUCCCUGCCUCUGCCUUCCAAGUGCAGGGGUUAAAGACAUGGGCUGCUGUGCCCAAAAGCUUUAUGACUUAACAGUAUUAAUUCUUCCAGCCUAUGAGCGCAAGCCAUCUUUGCAUUCGUUUAUGUCUUAGAGUUUCCCACAUUACUGAUAUUUCUGAAUAGCUUUAUUAUUUUUAGUGGUGUAACCAAUGGGCUUGUUUCCUUGUGUUGCUUUUCACAUGGGUUAAAUUAUCACACAGUACAUCUGUCUAAUGCUGAUUUUCUAUCAGGAAACUUGGCUGAAUUUAGUAGCACUUUAAAAGAGAUUUUUAUUACUAUUUUCCUUUAUGUGCGUAAGUUCGUGCACCAUACAUACGCAUGGCUGGUACCUGUGGAGUUAAAGCUAUUUGUGAGUUGCCAUGUUGGUGCUGGGAGCCAUGUCUCCAGCCCUGAGCUAGUAUUCUCAUACAGCAGAGGCCCACCUGCACGGAGAUGGGCUCCCACAUCAAUCAUCCAUCAUUCAAGACAAAUCUCUGACAGAGCAGUCUGGUUGAGGCAGUUCUUCCAUUGAGUUCUCUUUUCCCAAGUGAGUUUAGGCGUUGUCAAGGUAACAAGUGAGUUUAGGCAUUGUCAAGGUAACAAAAACUAACCAGAAUACCAGACUUGUGUCCCAGAAAUCAAUAAAUCCUAUCACAUUCCAAGGUUUUCUUUUCUUUCUUUGUGUUUUAACUUCAGUCUUCCUCCUCCUCCUUCUGUGUUUCAGAACAGUUUGGAAAAGAUUGGAAUGGAUUCAUCUUUCACAGUUUCGUAGAGUCAUGGGUGACGCAAUCUAGUUUGAGAGUUUUCUUCUUGGGAGGUUUUCCGUUUGUUUUGUAUUCUGUGACAGUGUCUCAUAGGUCAGGUGCUUCUCAGACUUACGCUGUAGCUAAGGAUUGAUUGACUGACUCAGGUGCUGACAUCAUAGGCCUGUGCCGCCACUCCGACACACUUUUGUUUGUUUUCCUGAGACGGUCACAGCUCUGACAGGCCUCAGACUCACUCUAUAGACCAUGCUGGGCCCAAACUUGCAUCGGUCCUCCUGAGGGCUGAAAUCUCAGGUUGGGAGUUUGUGGACUACUGAUAACAUUUAGUCUCUCAUGGCAGGCCUCUUCAUACACCUGUCUUUAUUUCACCUUUCAAGAUGUUAUGUAAAGGCUAACCCUGCUUUAGAAAAGUUGAAGGGCAGAUUUAUGUUGUGUUUACUGUAUUUGGCCCUGAGCACUGAUGUUUCACAGUAUCUAGAAUUGAGUAGUUGUAGAAAGUGAUUAUUCAGACACUCGUGAGGUGCCUCAGCUGCUUAAGGUACUUGCCACCAAGCUGACGACCCAAGUGUUAUCUCCAGUAGGACUCAAUUGGCAGAAGGGUGCUCCUCAAGUCGUCCUCUGAGACACACACACACACACACACACACACACACACACACAUAUACACAGACACACACAGACACACACACAGGCACACACAGACACACACACACACAAAGUAAAAUAGAUUUUUAAGGAAAGUGAUUACUCUGGUUUUCUUACUUCUAGAAUUCUGAGUUUAAACUAAUCUUAAGCCUCAAAUGGAAGGUAAGAAAUUUUGCUCCCCCACCCCUAACCCACUGUGUUGGGUUUUACUAUAGACUUGUAUUUUAGGGUAUUUGGUAAGAAUAGGAUUGGUAGGAUUAACUUGAGAAAAUAAAUUUCUCUAAAUAUUUUUAUAUUUCCUCCUUGUAAUUGCAAGUAGAAACAAUUCCGAUAUUUGGGAAAUGUCUUAAUGCCCACAGAGAAUAUUACCCAUAAUUUCAAAAUCUGUGAGCAUUCACUAUGAACUUGUGCAUUAUAAAAUAAGAGUGAGGGCUUGGUCAGUAGGCACUUGCCUUCAAGCACGAGGGUUUGCGUUCAGUCCUAGAAGCCAUGCCCAAAUGCCCAACAAGGUGGUUCGAGCUCAGAAUCCCUGCACUGAGAGAGAUGGAUGGAGGAGGAAGAGGAUCCCUGAGGCUCCAUGGCCACCCAGUCUCGCCUAGUUGGUAAACUCAAGGCCAUUGAAUGACAUGACUUAAAGGAGGUAGACAGCCUUCCCAGUGUUGACACCCAAGCUUGUCCUUCAGCUUCUAUACACACUUCCAUGCAUAAAAAAUAAAAUAAAAAAUUUUAGAUAGGUGGUGGUAAUGUACCCUUUAACCCUAGCACACAGGAGGCAGAAGCAAGCAGAUUUUUGAGUUCUAGGCCUAAACAGACAAACAAACAAAGAAAAAAUGGAAAGAAGGAAGAAGGAAGGAAGAGAGAGAGAGAGAGAGAGAGAGAGAGAGAGAGAGAAGAAAAAAGAAAAACCAACCAAGCCCCCCCCCCCCAAAAUGACAAAAACUCUUUGGUUUAACAUUGGGUAUGGCCUGAACAUUUUUUAUCAUUAGCUAUAACUCAGUCUUGGCUUGUCUGGACGUGAUCGCCCAACAGUGCCUAUGAUGUUUCCCUACCCUUACUGCCGUGGGCCAUUUCUACUUUGUUCUCUGGGACAUCUGGAAUUAUUACUGUCCUCACUCUCUGUUUAUGUACUGAUACUUUCCUGUUCUAAACUUCUUAGUUACGGUGAUCCUGCACUGGGCUCCUUCUGGUAGUAUAUGCAGCCGAAAAACGAGAGCCUUAGUUAGGGAAUUUCACUCAGACCCAAGCACACAAACAAGAGGAGAAGCCGGGGAUGCAGCUCAGUUUCUGGUACUGUGCACCCUGCACCCUGCACCCUGCACCCUGCAUAAAGCCCAGGCUCAGCUUAACAGAUACAGAGAAAGGAGGAGGAAAAGGAACUGCGUCUCCUAAGAAAGGAGGGCAUUUCUUUUGUGUGUGGUGGUCAGCUUAUUCAAAAGUAUGUUCAUCUACCAGAGAAAAGCUCAAUAAACGGUAUUAGCAAACUUCAUUAAGAGUGGUUUGAAAUGUAUAUUAUUUUAUUUGCUAUACUUAGUAAGGGAAAUUUAGAAUAUAUUUAAAUUUAGAAUUGAGUAUUUUUUUUUUUGGAAUGGCAAGUGGAAAAUUAUUCUCAUCAACACAAAGUAUCUACUUUCCUGAAACAUCUAAACAUCUAAUUUGCACAUUGGGGUGGAAAUGCUUAAACUUAGUUCCUGCCCAGUAAACAUAUUUACAGCAUACUUCUUAUGUCAUGACAUAGCUUUUGAAUGAAACUGAGCACUGCAUGCAAAAGGAAUGCCAUCACUUGUGGGGAGAGUAGGUUCUUCUCUCUGUAUCUUGUUUUCAUUUUCAGUGUAUUUAAAGUGUUACCUUUUCUUUUUAUUGUUAUCCUGUCGUUGUCCUAAAGCUGAAAUUAAGACUCUUGUAGUUGUUUUCCAUGUCAGACCUGUAUCCAGGAGCUUCUAUAUAGACCCCAAGGAGAGCCAGCGACAGCCCUGUCUGCCUUUGGAUCCUAACAGCUGAAUUUCUUUCUCUUUAUUGUUUGUUUUCUUUUUUGCAGCAGUGCGGCCACUUAGCAUGUCUCACAGUUUUGACUUGUCAGG
rnacentral:lncRNA from 1 species